rnacentral:lncRNA from 1 species
AAUAAUGUAAAAUUUUAAUAGAUAUGAAACAUAUUUAUAAAAUUUGUAUCUUUUAUACAUGCAACCAACCACUGUACAGGGACUAACAAGAAGAUUAAAGAAAACAACCAAGUUAUACGACGAGCUGUUGGAGAAAAUAAUCCAAGAACACGAGAGUAAUCCAUAUGAUAAAGAUAAAGAACGCAAAAUGGACUUUGUGGAUAUUUUAGUGUCACUCAUGCACCAAUCUAAUGAUGAUCAGAAUCAUCAAGAUGUCAUUGAUAGAACAAACGUAAAAGCUAUCAUAUUAGACAUACUAACUGCAGCAUUUGACACCUCUUCUACAACAGUAGAAUGGGCCAUGUCACAACUCUUGAGGCAUCCGAUUGUUAUGAAGAAACUUCAACAAGAGCUAGAACAUGUGGUUGGAAUGAACAGACAUGUAGAGGAAAAUGACUUGGAACACUUGUCUUAUUUGAACAUGGUGGUGAAGGAAACGCUAAGGUUACAUCCAGUUGCACCUUUGCUAUUACCUCGUGAGUGUAGAGAAGAUGUAACUAUUGAUGGCUAUUUGAUAAAGAAAAAAACAAGGGUUAUGAUAAAUGCUUGGGCUAUAGGGCGAGAUCCUAAAGUUUGGGACAGAGCUGAGAUUUUUGACCCUACAAGGUUUGAGAAUAACAACGUAGAUAUUCGUGGAAAGGAUUUUCGCAUUUUACCAUUCGGGUCGGGUCGAAGAGGGUGUCCUGGGAUUCAUUUGGGUUUAACCACUAUUAGUCUUGUUUUGGCUGAAUUAGUGCAUUGUUUUGAUUGGAAGCUUCCAUUGGGCAUGUGUUGUGAUGAGUUAGACAUGGAAGAGAUAUUUGGACUCACCACACCCCGAAAGAAGCAUUUGCUCACUAUACCAGUUUAUCAACUUGCCAUUUAGGUUAAGAGAGGGUUGAUUUCAGUUUCAAUUUGAGACAUGUGACAUAUUUUACAAUAUGAUUAAAUAAUUUGAACAAUGAUUUUGUUGUUGCAUUUAAGUGAUGGAGUGUGUCAUCCAUUCAAUGGUUCAAGUGACAAUGAUGAUUUUUACUGUAAUUUGAGAUAUCGUUUUCAUAGAAUUUUUUACAAGUUUUUGUUUUAUAACUUGUUUCAGUAUACGUAAGGGUGACAACUACGCCUUCAAAAUUUCAUUCUGUCAUCUUUCUUAACUUUGUUUUACUUUUUCUAAUGUCUUAUUUUUUUUUAAAUGCUCUCUUAACUUAUUUCUAUUAUAAAUUACAAUAUGUAAUAUAUAAUUCAAAAAUAUGCUUCACUUUUAAACGCAACAUUUCUUUUUUAUUUUCACAUCAAAUAACAUUGUGGUCUAUAAAUGCUCUAAACUCAUAUCUUAUUUCUCAUAAGCAACCAAACUAUUAAGAAAUGUUGCUUGAAGCAGUAGCUAUCUUCGUCAUCACACUCUCAUUCAUUGUUUUUGUGUUCCAAAGAAAACACCAUGGGAGAAGUGCACCAGGUCCCAAACCCUUGCCAAUCAUUGGUAACCUUCAUAUGCUAGGAAAACUCCCACAUCGAACCCUUCAAGCUCUUGCCACAAAAUAUGGUCCCAUAAUGUCCUUAAAGCUAGGGCAGCUCCCAACCAUAGUUGUGUCUUCCCCACAACUGCAGAACUGUUCCUGAAAACCCAUGACAUUGUUUUUGCCAGCAGACCCAAAAUCCAAGCCACAGAACUUCUUUUUUAUGACAGCAAGGGUUUAUCUUUUUCUGAGUAUGGUGCAUACUGGCGCAACGCGAGGAAAGUGUGCACUCUGCAGCUUCUGAGUGCCUCAAAGGUUGAGAUGUUUGCUCCUCUGAGGAGAAAAGAACUGGGAGUGUUGGUGAAGUCGCUGAAAAAUUCUGCAGCAUCAGCUGAGGUUGUCGAUCUGAGUCAGUUGCUGGGAGAGCUUUUGGAGAACAUCGUGUUCAAAUUGGUGUUGGGGAGUGCCAAAGAUGAUAGAUUUGACUUAAAAUUGCUGGUUCACGAAGUUUUGAACUUGGUUGGAGCUUUCAAUCUUGCAGAUUACAUGCCCUGGUUAGGAGUGUUUGAUCCUCAGGUAUCAAAUUCAAGCAGCUAUAACUUGUUAGCAUAUGCAUCCAUCGGAUCAAUUUUCAUAAGAUGAUUAACUGAUGUAAUAAUAUAUAUAUAUAUAUAAAAUCAAAUGAUAAAUAAACUUAUUAAAUAAUAAAUUUUAAGUCUAACUUAAUUUUAUUUAAUUAAUUUAUUUUGUAAAAUAAGAUUUAAACGAAAUUGAUUUUCAACCAUUUACAAAAAUAUCAGUUUUCGUAUAAUAAGUCAUCAAUUAUAUAUUAAAAAAAUAUUUUAAUAAAUCAAUAAAGAAAAUGACAUAUAUAUUGUGUAAAAAUAUUAUAAAAUAUCUGUAUGACCUGUCCUUAUAUUAUAGUGUCACGACAAAUCUCAUGAGGAACUUUGUUUUUGUUUUCUGGUGGAUAGAGACUAUAUAUGAUAUGGAGGACCUGUCCUACCAAUCUUUAACCAAUCACUUACAACCACUAGAAAUUCAUAUGCCUAUUUUCUACAAAAAGUUCAACCUUACGUUUCUUUUUAUCUAAUUUGUCUCUGUCCCACCCACCAACUAUAAAACAUUUAUACUUUUAUUAAACAAAAUAUAUUUAUUUUUUAAAAGUAAAUUCAUAUUAAACAUCAUUCUAAAAAAAUAUUAAAACAAACUAAAACAUAAAGAAAGAAAGAAAAAUAUGAUACACAAAAUCCAUAGUACGAUUACAUUACAUAGAAAAAAAAUAAUAAAUAUAAAGUGAAUGUAAAAAUUCAGUUUUAAGAUAAUAUAAUCACUAAAGCUAUUAAACUUUGCUAUAAAUCAUGAUUAAUUCACAUCUAUCCUUUUCUUUUUCUAUACUAAACUUUACAAUUACAUAAAUUAUUAUUUUAGUAUACUAUAAUAAAAAUAAAUGAACUAAUGUGUUUUAGAAACAAUGAUAUUAAGGUUUAUUUAUCCCUUAUACAUGCAACAAUUGUGCAGGGAAUAACAAAAAGAUUAAAAAAAGUAGCAAAGUCAUUUGAUGAGCUAUUGGAACAAAUAAUUCAAGAACAUGAAAAUAAUCUAUAUGACGAAGAUCAAAAUCGCAACAUGGACUUUGUGGAUAUUUUGUUGUCACUCACGCACCAAUCCAAUGAUGUUCAGAAUCACCAAGACGUCAUUGAUAGAACAAACGUAAAAGGUAUUAUAAUAGACAUCAUAAGUGCAACAUUUGACACCUCUUCCACAACAGUAGAAUGGGCCAUGUCACAACUCUUGAGGCAUCCAACUGUCAUGAAGAGACUUCAACAGGAGCUAGAACAUGUGGUCGGAAUGAAUAGGCAUGUGGAGGAAAAUGACUUGGAACAAUUGUCUUAUUUGAACAUGGUGGUGAAGGAAACACUAAGGUUACACUCGAUUGUACCUUUGCUAUUACCUCGUGAGUGUAGAGAAGAUAUAACUAUUGAUGGUUAUUUGAUAAAGAAAAAAACAAGGGUUAUAGUAAAUGCUUGGGCUAUAGGGCGAGAUCCUAAAGUUUGGGAUAUGGCCGAAAUUUUUGACCCUGCAAGGUUUGAAAAUAACAACAUAGAUGUUCGUGGAAAGGAUUUUCGGAUUUUACCAUUUGGGUCAGGUCGAAGAAUGUGCCCCGGAAUUCAUUUGGGUUUAACGACGAUUAGUCUUAUUUUGGCUGAAUUGGUGCAUUGUUUUGAUUGGAAGCUUCCACUGGACAUGUGCUGUGAUGAGUUAGACAUGGAAGAGAUAUUUGGACUCACCACACCAAGAAAGAAGCAUUUGCUCACUAGACCAGUUUAUCGACUCGCCAUUUAAGUUAAGAUAGGGUUGAUUUUAGUUCCAAUUUGAGACAUGUGACACAUUUAAAUUUUAUGAUAAAUUAAUUUGAACAAUGAUUUUGAUUUUGUAUUUAUGUGAUCGAGUGCUUCAUCCAUUUAAUGGUUUAAGUGUAACUAUAUUUGUUUGUCG